rnacentral:rRNA from 1 species
UCGAACGGACUCAUAUUGAAACCUAGUGAUUUAUGAGUUAGUGGCGGCCGUGUGAGUAACGCGUGGAUAACCUGCCGUAUACCGGGGAUAACACUUAGAAAUAGGUGCUAAUACCGCAUAAGCGCACGGCUCCGCAUGGGGCAGUGUGAAAAACUCCGGUGGUAUACGAUGGAUCCGCGUCUGAUUGGCUAGUUGGCGGGGUAACGGCCCACCAAGGCAGCGAUCAGUAGCCGGCCUGAGAGGGUGGACGGCCACAUUGGGACUGAGACACGGCCCAAACUCCUACGGGAGGCAGCAGUGGGGAAUAUUGCACAAUGGGGGAAACCCUGAUGCAGCGGCGCCGCGUGAGUGAAGAAGUAUCUCGGUACGUAAAGCUCUAUCAGCAGGGAAGAAAAUGACGGUACCUGACUAAGAAGCCCCGGCUAACUACGUGCCAGCAGCCGCGGUAAUACGUAGGGGGCAAGCGUUAUCCGGAUUUACUGGGUGUAAAGGGAGCGUAGACGGCAGCACAAGUCUGGAGUGAAAUCCCGGGGCUUAACCCCGGAACUGCUUUGGAAACUGUGCGGCUGGAGUGCAGGAGGGGUAAGCGGAAUUCCUAGUGUAGCGGUGAAAUGCGUAGAUAUUAGGAGGAACACCGGUGGCGAAGGCGGCUUACUGGACUGUAACUGACGUUGAGGCUCGAAAGCGUGGGGAGCAAACAGGAUUAGAUACCCUGGUAGUCCACGCCGUAAACGAUGAUUACUAGGUGUCGGGGGAUCAAGGUCCUCCGGUGCCGGCGCAAACGCAUUAAGUAAUCCACCUGGGGAGUACGUUCGCAAGAAUGAAAC